UACGUAGGGCGCAAGCGUUAUCCGGAAUUAUUGGGCGUAAAGAGCUCGUAGGCGGUUUGUCGCGUCUGCCGUGAAAGUCCGGGGCUCAACUCCGGAUCUGCGGUGGGUACGGGCAGACUAGAGUGAUGUAGGGGAGACUGGAAUUCCUGGUGUAGCGGUGAAAUGCGCAGAUAUCAGGAGGAACACCGGUAGGUCGAAGGCGGGUCUCUGGGCCGAUACUGACGCUGAGGAGCGAAAGCGUGGGGAGCGAACAGG
rnacentral:rRNA from 1 species